rnacentral:tRNA from 1 species
GCGAGGGUUCGCGUAAAGGCGUCGAGGCGCCGCGCUUCAGGCGCGGCGCCGUUUUUUCACCGGUUCUAGUUCAUGCUCAGUUUCGCGCU